UCUCAUCACCUCAUCCGCCCCCCCCCUUCAUCCUCUUCCCACGCCACACACACACAAACACACACCGCCCCUCUCCCGCAGCCCACCCCUCUUCCGCUCUCGCACACGGACGCGCAGACGCGAAGAGCCGCACAUCAAGCGACGAGUACAAGCGAAGGGGAACGAAGCGAGCGAACGUAGAAACCCGCGCACGCAGGUGCCUUUUCAGCGCCUCCUAUCUCCCCCCUCCCCUCAACACACACGCACAUACACACCUUCUUCACAUCAUUAGCUCCGCAGCCAUGUCGUACCCACCGACGGAGGCGGAUGUGAUCAGCAACGACAGCCUCUUCUCCGACUCUGUCGAGUUCGACGCAGCGGAGAAGCCGAUCGCUGCCGAGGAUGUUCACGGCUUUGCUGAAGCGAAAGAGCAGCCUCUUGGGCACGACGACCGCGGCCUGCCCACAGAUGAUGCCGUGAUGCACGCCGGUUCGCGGUACCCUGAGGAAGAGCCGGCCGGGCCGCCGCCGCCGGUAACGAAUGCCUUCAUGAAGCCACGCAAGACAGCGACGAAGCCGCCACGGGAGUGGGUGCCAGUGAACCUGCAGGUGCCCGAGGAAGACCCGGAGGACGAGUUCGACAUUGGCACCGCUCAGAAGCCCGUGUACGAGAGCCCGGAAACCCCUGCGGCUACCGGUGGUGCUGCUGCGCCAAAGGUACGGUUCGUGAACGGCGAGCCUGACAUCAGGGGCGAGGUGACGAACUGCUUCGAGGAGCCCGGGUUGCUCUACCGCAUCGUUGACCGACCGAACAAGACGUGGGCCUUCUACAACGACAGCCGUUCCUUCGAAGUGCACGUUGUGUGCACGUUUGGCAAGCACAGCAAGAUCACGCCGCUCGAAAACACGAAGAUGACGCGUGAUGAAAGCACGGGCGAGUACGUGAUGGAGUUGACCGUCUACCCUGGCGAGACGGAGCCCUUCAUCAAGGGCUUCGUGAACGGCUUCUCGAGCAAGCUGAGCGCGCUGCCGCUGUCGCAGGAGUACUUCCAAGCUCGCAGCGAGGCACAGAAUCAGCAGGUUGUGCAGGUGGAGAUGGACGCCAUCCGCGCCAUCGCCGGCGACGAGACGGAUGCGGAGCGCAUUCUGCAGAUCUGCCUGGAGAACGGCCUACCCUUUGUCGACCUCUCCUUCCCGCCUGUGCAGUCGUCCAUCGAGUCUGGGGCGGCGAAGCCGUUCAAGCGGCUGCCGUGGGGCCGGCCACGCAUGUACGUGAAGCCGGAGCUGCACGACCAAAUUCGACUCUUCCGCAACCGCAUCUGCCCCGGCGAGGUCGAGCAGGGCGAGCUGGGUGACUGCUGGCUCAUGUGCGCGGUAGCCACGCAGGCCGAGGACCCGACAGUGGUCAUGCAGAUGUUCCGGCACCCGAAGGGCGCCGAUUCGGCGCGGUGCGAGCGCGCUAUCGGUGCGUACCGCGUGUCCUUCAACAAGAACGGUCUCUGGCGCAGUAUCCUUGUGGACGACUACUUUCCUGUCAUCGCCGGCGCGCCGGCCUUCGCUCACAGCCGCGACCUGUGCGAGCUGUGGCCGGCAGUUCUCGAGAAGGCGUUUGCCAAGAUGCACGGCAGCUACGCUAUGAUCCAGUCCGGUGAUCCGAUGCACGCACUGACAGACAUGACGGGAUUCCCGGCCAUGCGCAUCGACGAAAUGGUCGCCAAGGCGGCCGUGCACAACGGCCGCGACCUGGAGUCGCAGAUGAUCCAGUGGCAAAGGAAGGGCUACCAGGCCAUCCUCACGACGCCCGGCAAGGCGCCGGCGAUUCCGGCGGAUGCGCAGAGCUCGCCGGACUUCUCCGACCAGCCCGAGAUGGAGGAGGCGUUCGCCGGUACCGGCUUCCUGCCCGGCCACGCCUACUCCGUGCUGGACGUGAAGGAGUUCCAAAAGGGUCAGAUCCGCCUGAUAUGCCUGCGCAACCCGUGGGUGCACGGCAGCGGAUGGACGAGGGCGUGGGCGUGGGAUGCCCUGGAGUGGCAACAGCACCGCGAUAUCGCCACCGCGUGCGGCUUCAGCAAGCACAAGGGCGACACUAGCAUCGUCUGGAUGACCUUCGAGGAUGCGCUCAAGUAUUUCAUCGGCGGUGGUGUACUUUUCCGCGCGCCGGCAGCGCACGACGCGCGCGUGCCCAUUACCUUCGCCGACUGCAAGCCCGGCGCCGUCUUUCAGGUGUCGGUGAAGGCGCCGAUGGACGUCACGUUCAUCUUGUCGAACAUGGACCACCGCGGCAUGCACGUCGACGAGGCAGGUGCGGCCGAGUCCGACCCGAACAACAUAGACUACCCACCCGUGAUGCUGUCGCUUGCCGCGCCGGUGCCCAAAGAGACGGACGUGUACCAGGUCGUGCAGAACUCCUCGACUGACAUGACGCAGCCGUCGGACAACGCGUGGCUGUUCCUGCAGGCGCGCGAGAUUGCCAUGACGUGCCACCUGGAGCCGAGUGCCGCGCCGUACCUGCUCAUUCCGCGCCUCAUGGAGGGCGACGAGACAGUCGGCAACGGCAACGGCGGAGGCGAGGACAUGCGCGAUUUUGUGCAUCCGAUCUACUACGUCAACGACUACGUCCACCUCUUCCGGAACGCGCCAAGCGUGAAAGCUAAGGAGAUUGCCGUGACCAUCGGUUUCGAGGCGGAUGAGGAGAUCGGUGAUAACAUCGUCGUGGUCAUGUGCAAGAUAGGCGAGGGCAACGCCGUCUUUGAGAACUUUCCGAAGUUCCCGACGGACGACGUGGAGCCGCACGAGGAGGAGCUGUACUUCCAGACCAAGGAGAGCAACUGCGGCUAUGCGCAGGAGAAGGCCGGCACGGCCAUCUACUGAGAUCGCCUCAGGCCUCUUCUCAACAAAAAGAAACAUUUUCCCUAUGGCUGUGCGUUAGGGAUGCGUGAGAGAGAGAGAGACGAGGAAAGAGGGUGCGUGUGUGCGAGAAUGCGAUGAGCUUCAGCACAGCCGUCGUGUCCUUGUCAACGUCGGUUGCGUUCGGUGAUGUUCGAUAAAAUGAGGUGGCCGACGCGACAUGGCCAAAGUGAUGCCAGGUAUGGCGCCGUUGGAAGAGGGACGAGGAGGGAGGGAAAGAGGGAGGGUGUUGGUGUUUGAGAGGGAGUGAGUGCGACUCUUUUCUCCGGAAGCACAUCACGGCUUCCGGUGCCGCUCGCUUCCUCAGGCACCCACACGCCCGCCCGCAUCCUCUCUCUACCUGUCUCUCUCGCUCUCUUCCCUGGGCUCCCAUCUCUUCUUUUCCAGUUGUUUGACAGCGGAGGAGUCCAUCCAAACAAAUCUGUGAGCAUAUGGGGGCGUGUGUGUGUGUGUGUGUCUCUUGCGUUCCACCACAGCACCCCUGCACACCAACACACGCAUCCCUCAUCGCUUGCAGCCCCACUGUCGCAGAUGAUACCGAAAGAAGGAGCGGGGGGUACUUGCCCUCUCGUGCGGUCGCUCGAGGAGUGCUGCACCGGUCCUUUUCUGCCCUCCCCCUCCCCCUCUCCAUCUCCUCCCGAUCGCGUAGCGACUUUCCUUCUCGAAGCUGCGUCGCUCUCUUUGUUGUUGUUCAUGUUUUGGUUUCACGUAUGCCGGUGCCGGUUUGUCCAUACAUAUAUACAUAUAUAUAUUUAUGUGUGUAUAUAUGUAUGUAUAUAUGUGUGUAUAUAUGUGUGUAUAUAUGUAUGUAUAUAUGUGUGUAUAUUUAUAUAUGUGUGUAUAUAUGUAUAUAUAUAUGUGUGUAUAUAUGUAUGUAUAUAUGUGUGUAUAUAUGUGUGUAUAUAUGUGUGUAUAUAUGUGUGUAUAUAUGUAUGUAUAUAUGUGUGUAUAUAUGUGUGUAUAUAUGUAUAUAUAUGUGUGUAUAUAUGUGUGUAUAUAUGUAUGUAUAUAUGUGUGUAUAUAUGUGUGUAUAUAUGUAUGUAUAUAUGUGUGUAUAUAUGUAUAUAUAUGUGUGUAUAUAUGUGUGUAUAUAUGUGUGUAUAUAUGUAUGUAUAUAUGUGUGUAUAUAUGUGUGUAUAUAUAUAUAUAUAUGUGUGUAUAUAUGUAUAUAUAUGUGUGUAUAUAUGUAUGUAUAUAUGUGUGUAUAUAUGUGUGUAUAUAUAUAUAUAUAUGUGUGUAUAUAUGUAUAUAUAUGUGUGUAUAUAUGUGUGUAUAUAUGUGUGUAUAUAUGUGUGUAUAUAUGUAUAUAUAUGUGUGUAUAUAUGUAUAUAUAUGUGUGUAUAUAUGUGUGUAUAUAUGUGUGUAUAUGCGUAUAUAUGUAUCUGUGCAUAUGUAUCUAAUAUAUAUAUAUUCCAUGUACAUUCUGUGUACACAUCUUAGGCUUUUUGUAUAUGUGUAUACAUGGGUGUGUGUGUGUGUGUGUGUGUGUCAACGGUGCUGAUUGGCGUGCCGUGCGUGUUUUCGUGUCUCUCUUGCUUGCCGUUGUUGUUGUUUCCAACCACCACCACCUCUGCUCUUUGUACGCGUGGGUUUGCUUCGAUUCGCCCGUUGCUGAACUCCAGCUCAUCCGUCCAUGCCCCACCUCUCUCUCCAUCUGUGUUUUUCUGCACGUCUGUCUGUGUGUACUUGGACAGAAACAAGUCGACGUGGCACUGCUCUUGUCCCUCCCCCCCUCCCCCCAGACCCACCCCUCACUACCAACACCCACCUCAACCCUUACCACUCUCCCCCACCCACCCACGCCGCUGCCUCUCGUCAGCCUUCAACUGACGGUGGUCAGCAGGAGAAACGGCUGAGGUGAAGGAUUGGUGGGGUUCGCCUAGAAUGUCGUGUAGCACACAUGUCGCCGCACCUAUUCAAUUUUUUUCGUGCUAUACCAGUGUAUCUACUAAUUACAGAUUUCAAACUCACAGGCACGUCGAGCACACGCAGACGGAACAGUGCGCCACUUGCGUCUGCUUCUGUGGAGUGCUUCGGUAUGUGUGCACGUCUGCUUUGGGGGAUGGGAGUAGAUGGGGGUGGGUUGGUGGAUGUUGCCGUCAUCGCUUGCCCGCACCAGCGCCACCACCUCACACGCACACAUACAUACGUACAUACACAACCCCAUACCUGUGCCUCUCCGCCUCCCCCCUCCCACUCCACCAAGCCACCUCAUGCAUCACCCUUGCUAGAGCAGUAGCAGUGAUUCUGAUUAUUCUUCAGGUUUUCAUAGUCACCACAUUCUGUGUUGUCCCCCGUUGUCGUUGUUUCUCUUGCGCGUGUCCUGUUAUUAUUUGUGUCCCUCUCUCUCCUCUCUCUCCCCCUUCGACAGUCGUGUGUCGAAGUGGACAUGCGUUGGUGUUGUCUCUAUAUAUAUACAUAUGUAUACAUAUGUGUGUGUGUGUGUCGGUGUGUGUCUCACCCUCCGACGGCAACAUGACUGCCGCGAUCGCCCUUUGAAGUAAUCGAAGGUCGGCGUGAAACGCACGGAGCGAAGGGCACACGUGCACGCCAUCACGGAUAGACACAGAUGCAACAGGGUGCGCACAGUACCACUGAACUUAGGUGCACGCUCUCUAUGCGCUCCACGAGCAAACGAAAACAACGGAGAAGGCUUCAUCAAGUAUCUACGACCCUUGCGCACCUUGCAUGCAUGUCAUGAAUGUGCUCUGCUUGAUAUCUUGCCUCAUUUCGUGGCUGUACCCCCUCUCUCUCUCGCUGUGUCACCUACCCCGCCCCACCCUUCAUCCUAGGUGCUCGUGUUGUUGUUGGCGACUCCUCUUGUUUUGUUGGACUUUGACUGUGCGUAUGCACGUGCCUUGAUGAGCACCACUCCGUGCGUCUCCUCGUACCCUCUUCCUCCCCCCUCCCCUCCCCUCUCCCACACCUCUCAUCAUGUCCUCUCCCUCACUCUCACCAUCUCUCCCCAUCCGCCCGCCUUCCUUCACGCAUCCACAGACACAUGCACGCCCCCUGCCUUGCUGUGACCACUUUUGUCGAGUGGCGUCUCGGUGCCUGUCUAUGUGUCUGUGUGUGUGUGUGUGUGUGUGUGUGUGUGUGUGUGGUAUUCUGUAUGUUUGUGCCUAUGUGGGUAUCAAUGUAUGCUUGCGCUUUACUCGUGUGCGUGCGUGCGUGCGUGCGUGCGUGCGUGCGUGCGUGCGUGCGUGCGUGCGUGUGCGAGUCUCCCUCUCUGUUCAUCUCCUCGUUGUCUUUGUUUUUUUUUAUGUUUUUGUUUGCCAUAUGCCUUCUUGCUGGGGAGGGGGCGGUGUUGGCGAGAGUAACGGAUGGUCGCCGCCCGCUCCCAUCAUGCACCCUCUGUUCUCUGCUUGUUGUGUCGUCGCCGCCUUCUUCACACACACACACACGCACCUCUGUCGGGCUGGUUGGACGGCCCUGUGUACUUGCAGCAGGCGUAGUCUGGGCCGAGAGACACCCAUCCAUUAUGAGAGUGUGGCGAGCAAGGAGAGAUGAUCUGUCUCCAGGCAAACAACAGCAACAACCACAG
rnacentral:misc_RNA from 1 species